GUUCAAAAGGACCACAGCUCGGCAAAUCCACCAGCAGACAUAAUAAUGGAGAAAUAUUCUAUUUAAGAGGAAGAAAGGGUGCCAUGCAAGGGACAUUAUCCUGCCGCUAAAGCAUGGUCGGACAUAAUACCCACAGUUUCCUAUUGUGUGUAUUUUAUGGAGAAGGAAGGUGAUGGGGGGCCUUUUAAAAUGUCUGCCUACACGAUUGGGUUUCUUUCAUUGAUGGUUCUC